rnacentral:pre_miRNA from 1 species
UCAUGGGUGGCUGGUAGGCAGUGUCUUGUUAGCUGGUUGAUUGUGUGUGUGCCAGCUUACCUGCUGCUGCCCUCCAGCUGUUCAUUUA